CUAUAAUUGUCAGCUAAGUGGCGCACGGGUGAGUAAUGUAUAGAUAAUCUGCCCUUAAGAAAGGAAUAACAGUUGGAAACGACUGCUAAUGCCCUAUAUGCCUUUAAUACAUAAGUAUGCAAGGGAAACGCUUUAGUGCUUAAGGAUGGGUCUGUAUGGUAUCAGCUUGUUGGUGAGGUAAUGGCUCACCAAGGCUAUGACGCCUAACUGGUUUGAGAGGAUGAUCAGUCACACUGGAACUGAGACACGGUCCAGACUCCUACGGGAGGCAGCAGUGGGGAAUAUUGCACAAUGGACGAAAGUCUGAUGCAGCAACGCCGCGUGGAGGAUGACACAUUUCGGUGCGUAAACUCCUUUUAUAUAGGAAGAUAAUGACGGUACUAUAUGAAUAAGCACCGGCUAACUCCGUGCCAGCAGCCGCGGUAAUACGGAGGGUGCAAGCGUUACUCGGAAUCACUGGGCGUAAAGAGCGUGUAGGCGGGUAUAUAAGUCAGAAGUGAAAUCCAAUAGCUCAACUAUUGAACUGCUUUUGAAACUGUAUACCUAGAAUGUGGGAGAGGUAGAUGGAAUUUCUGGUGUAGGGGUAAAAUCCGUAGAGAUCAGAAGGAAUACCGAUUGCGAAGGCGAUCUACUGGAACAUUAUUGACGCUGAGACGCGAAAGCGUGGGGAGCAAACAGGAUUAGAUACCCUGGUAGUCCACGCCCUAAACGAUGUACACUAGUUGUUGUGAGGCUCGACCUUGCAGUAAUGCAGUUAACACAUUAAGUGUACCGCCUGGGGAGUACGGUCGCAAGAUUAAA
rnacentral:rRNA from 1 species